rnacentral:miRNA from 1 species
UGUAUGCUUGUGUGUGUGUGUGUGUGUGUGUGUGUGUGUGUGUGGCGCCAGGGAUCCCCCUCAGGGUCUCACACACACAGCAUGCACGC